AACGAACGCUGGCGGCAGGCUUAACACAUGCAAGUCGAACGAGAUCUUCGGAUCUAGUGGCAGACGGGUGAGGAACACGUGGGAACAUUCCUUUCAGUUCGGAAUAACGUUGGGAAACUAACGCUAAUACCGGAUACGUCCUUCGGGAGAAAGAUUUAUCGCUGAAAGAUUGGCCCGCGUCUGAUUAGCUAGUUGGCGAGGUAACGGCUCACCAAGGCUACGAUCAGUAGCUGAUCUGAGAGGAUGAUCAGCCACAUUGGGACUGAGACACGGCCCAAACUCCUACGGGAGGCAGCAGUGGGGAAUAUUGGACAAUGGGCGCAAGCCUGAUCCAGCCAUGCCGCGAGUGAUGAAGGCCUUCGGGUUGUAAAGCUCUUUUGUCCGGGAAGAUAAUGACUGUACCGGAAGAAUAAGCCCCGGCAAACUUCGUGCCAGCCGCCGCCGUAA
rnacentral:rRNA from 1 species